CAAUAGCGUAUAUUAACGUUGUUGCAGUUAAAAAGCUCGUAGUUGGAUUUCUGGAGGGAGCGUCGGCCCGUAUUUACGAGUGCGUGACGUCUCUGUCCAUCCUUGCGGGAAGGCACGGCAUUGAUUUGUUGUGUCGGAUCGCAUCAUUUACUGUGAAAAAAUUAGAGUGUUCAAAGCAGGCUUUCGCUUGAAUACAUUAGCAUGGAAUAAUAAGAUAGGACUUUGGUGCUAUUUUGUUGGUUGAGCCUAAAGUAAUGAUUAAUAGGGAUAGUUGGGGGCACCUGUAUUGCGUUGUCAGAGGUGAAAUUCUUGGAUUUACGCAAGACAAACAGCUGCGAAAGCAUUUGCCAAGGAUGUUUUCAUUGA
rnacentral:rRNA from 1 species